CCAAAGGGCUUGAGCCAAAACCCAUUGAAGUCAAUGGAAAGAUUCCCAUUGGCUUCAGUGGGCUGUGGAUCAGGCCCAAGG
rnacentral:pre_miRNA from 1 species